rnacentral:rRNA from 1 species
GAUGAACGCUGGCGGCGUGCCUAAUACAUGCAAGUCGAGCGAACGGACGAGAAGCUUGCUUCUCUGAUGUUAGCGGCGGACGGGUGAGUAACACGUGGAUAACCUACCUAUACGACUGGGAUAACUUCGGGAAACCGUAGCUAAUACCGGAUAAUAUUUUGAACCGGAUGGUUCAAAAGUGAAAGACGGUCUUGCUGUCACUUAUAGAUGGAUACGCGAUGCAUUAGCUAGUUGGUAAGGUAACGGCUUACCAAGGCAACGAUGCAUAGCCGACCUGAGAGGGUGAUCGGCCACACGGGAACUGAGACACGGUCCAGACUCCUACGGGAGGCAGCAGUAGGGAAUCUUCCGCAAUGGGCGAAAGCCUGACGGAGCAACGCCGCGUGAGUGAUGAAGGUCUUCGGAUCGUAAAACUCUGUUAUUAGGGAAGAACAUAUGUGUAAGUAACUGUGCACAUCUUGACGGUACCUAAUCAGAAAGCCACGGCUAACUACGUG